CAGGUCAGCAUACUGCCGUGAAUACGUUCCCGGGCCUUGUACACACCGCCCGUCACACCAUGAGAGUUGGGAAUACCCGAAGCCUGUGAGCUAACUUUUAAGAGGCAGCAGUCGAAGGUAGAAUCAAUGAUUGGGGUGAAGUCGUAACAAGGUACC
rnacentral:rRNA from 1 species